UAAUCUAAUGAAAAUUUCUGAGCGCUAUAUGUGGAUGGGUAUUAUUUUAUAAUUAGACUAAGAGCUGUCAAAGACUGUAUUAUUCAAUCUAAUUUAUAAUUUAACCUGCUAAAGGCUAAGAUCGGGCAGUGAUAGUUUGGACAUUUUAGCAUGUUAAAAGCACGUUUGUCUUCGUACCCUUACAUUGGCAGUGCGCGUCUGUACUAAAUUGAUUUAAAAUGACAUGGAAGCAACUUGAAAGAGAUAUUUUGGUGGAUGGCCGAAUGGUUAACGUGUGCGCGCUGUAUCAUACGGCCUGCCAUUGGGUCAACUGGCGUGGUUUCGAAUCCCCGGUUGUACGUGGCAAGGAGGAGGGUCGCCUGUCCAAUCUCGUGGGUUUUCUCCGGUUUCAUCCCACUACUAAAGAUCCCUACCAAAGGUGAAUUAUUUCAAUGUCUCCCUUUUUAUAUUAUUUUAGAACAUUACAAUUUAUGUAACAUUUUUUCAGGGUCCAAACCAUACAUACUCUGCAGAUGGUCAUGACAAGUUAAUGGGGUUUCAGAGGAAAAUGUUCCCAUUUGCUAUAUAUGGUGUCCAAGAUGUUUACAGCUGUAAGCUUUUGUAUGUUAAAGUAGGAAAAACAAAUAAAAAUCCCAAGAUUAUUGGGAAAUGGUAUCAUGAAUUCAUUAGCAGAACUGGAGUGAUAAGUCAGAUUUUGCGCCUGGACAAAGGAUCAGAAAACGGUCACAUGGCAACUAUCCAUGCCUAUUUGCAGAGUACUGAAUUUGAAAAUCCAGAAGAUUCUGUUAUAUUUGGAUCUUCAACAUCCAACAAGAUAGAAAGAUGGUGGCGUGAACUUCACUCUCGUCUUGUUAAGUACUUUAAGGAAAAAUUCCAGUAUUUAUUCGAUCAGGGUUAUUACAACCCUGAUGAGAUUACAGACAGAGAAAUACUUGCACUAGUUUAUUUACCACUGGUUCAAGAGGAAAUCAAUAAGUUUGUAGAACUCUGGAAUAACCAUCGCAUGAGGAAACAAAACAGUGAUCUGCCCAAAGGAAUUCCCAACCACCUGUAUGACUUUCCAGAAACAUAUGGCUCUACUGAAUGUGGAUCAAGAGUGUCUGAAGCAGAGUUAGAGGAUGUAAAAAACUUAGCUGAUGUAUUAGAUGAUGGCGCUUUUGUUGACAAAGAGUUAGAAAGGCGAAGCAAGGAACUAUUGCCCAAUCUAUCAGAAUUGGAAUUAACUGAUGCUCUUGAA